rnacentral:rRNA from 1 species
UACGGAGGGUGCAAGCGUUAUCCGGAAUCAUUGGGUUUAAAGGGUCCGCAGGCGGGAAAAUAAGUCCGUGGUGAAAUCUCUCGGCUCAACCGAGAAACUGCCAUUGAUACUGUUUUUCUUGAAUUCGAUCGAAGUGGGCGGAAUGUGACAUGUAGCGGUGAAAUGCUUAGAUAUGUCACAGAACACCGAUAGCGAAGGCAGCUCACUAGGUCUGGAUUGACGCUCAGGGACGAAAGCGUGGGGAGCAAACAGG